UACGUAGGGUGCAAGCGUUAAUCGGAAUUACUGGGCGUAAAGCGUGCGCAGGCGGCUUUGCAAGACAGAUGUGAAAUCCCCGGGCUUAACCUGGGAACUGCAUUUGUGACUGCAUGGCUGGAGUGCGGCAGAGGGGGAUGGAAUUCCGCGUGUAGCAGUGAAAUGCGUAGAUAUCGGGAGGAACACCUGAGGCGAAGGCGGGCUACUGGGCCGAUACUGACGCUGAUGCGCGAAAGCCAGGGGAGCAAACGGG
rnacentral:rRNA from 1 species